GACAUGGUGAAGGGUACAAGAACCCUUAUACGGCCUCAUCCAACUAGCUCAGACGCUAUAUAUCCUAGAGACAAUACCACGACCAGUGAAGAGACCAAAAAUGUUUGUCCUGAAGAAAUGUAAUUGAAGGUACGUGGACUACAAAAAAUAAGAAACGGUGGUGUAAUACUAAGCACUGAUGACCAAGGACGACAUCCAAAAAUUGAAGCAGACUGUCGAGCGUUGCCCCGGUAUGAGGCCACUGCCAGGGAUGGACACUAUGGACAAGUAUUUGCUCUUAUACUCGUGGGAUGUAUAUGGACAAUAAUAUAAAUAACCCAACCAAAAAAGACCAAGAUAGGGAGUGGGAUGCGGACUCGGACUGAGAGUCCGUAUCCAGUGAGGGAACUGCGGGAGCCCCGCAGCAAGAAGGACCACAGGGUCGAGGCCUUCCUCAAGAGGAAGGCGGACGACUUGGGGUCUUCCUCCGGUGGUCGCGGAGCCUCGGCCAAAAAGGCCGAUAGGAGACCCGUUCGCGAGAGGACCUCUGAGGUGCCUGGGGGCAACGGAGGAUCAGCUCCGGGUUGGCUUUAGUAUCGUUUGGCAGGCGGACGGCGCUAAAAGUGGUUAAAUCUGGUAGAGGGUGGGUCCCCGAUUAUAACUCUACCCUUCUCGUUACAAGGUAAUGGAUAUUUUUCGAGAAAUUGACAAAAAAUGUUUCUAAUCUCAAAUCAAUAAAUGUUAUUCGGUGUAAUGGAACGUUAAAAUGGGCGAUCGACAACUAAAUGUGUUUUAGUAUAUUGUCUGUGGUGUACAAAUCCGUGAAAAGGAACGCAAAAAAAUGUCUCUGGUAUUUGCGUUAUGUGUCUUUUUCUUUCGUUCUCUCUGUGCUUCGUGGUGUGUUUUUGUGGAAUUUUUUUUGACGACUUUGGCUUAUACUCUAGACUUUGAUUGAUUGCUUGCGACUGACCUACGCUCGUGUACUGGACAUCGGUUUUUCUGCCUCAUCGACUGACUCUUGCUGUUGAUUGGAACCAUGGCGGAGUUUACAUCAAGCCAUUCUACGGCUGAGGGCGAAGCUCAGCAACCGACGACCCGUUCCAUGAUCGAGGACGAACCUCGGCCAUCCACGAGUCGUUCCGUGGUUGACGACGAACCUCGGCCAUCCACGAGCCGUUCCGUAGUUGAUGACAAACCUCGGUCAUCCACGAGCCGUUCCGUGCCAGAGGACGAACCGAGGCCAUCUACAAGUUGUUCGGACAGUUCAGAGGACGAACCACCUUUCAAGCAAGGGUUAGUUGUGGCGGAAGUGCGUGCAAUGUGGAACUUAGUCAAAGUCUAUCAAAGGCUAGGCACUCGUGAGCAAGCUGUGGCAUUUGCCGAGAAAGAGACAUGAUAAAAAAAGAAAGAAUGUGUAACUAUCACAAAAAAACGAUGACGAUUGAAUACUCAACAAAUAAAACGGUGGGCUUUUUUGUAUGUAAUAGAGAGCCAUGCCGAUCCAAAUCUAAAGUGAGCCGAGGCAAAGGCACUUGCUUGGUUUGACAAUAUUAAAAUAACGAUGCCACAGGUAUUUUACCUUAUGUAUGCCUAUGCAAACAAAUUUAGCUAUGAUCGCACUAAAGAAGACUACACAGAAGGAGAAUACUGCCUCUCUAGCGCAACGAUAAAUGAUUGGUUUAACUACUGCAGAGAGGCAGUUCUUAGCUACCAAAAAAAUAGAGAAGCACUUGCCGGGAAGAUUGGAGGUCCGAGCAAAUUUGUACAAAUUGACGAAAGGGGAAACGGAAAUAUAAUAAAGGUCGUCGAAUUGAAGGCCACUGGAUCCUGGGAAUGAUCCAGGAUGGGAGUGAAGAUCUACGCCUGGAAGUCUGUCCAGACAAUCUUCGCUCCACAGAAAUUCUGGUGCCACUCCUACAAAAACAUGUUGCUGAGGGCACAAUGCGGGCCUAUGAUUGCCUGGGUGAUCAUGGAUUCAUCCACUAUAAGGUGAAUCACAGUCAUCCAGAUAACCCCUUUGUUGCUGAGGAUGGGGCACAUACGCAGCGGAUUGAAUCACAGUGGCGCUUUUUAAAACGUUUUUUUUUUUAGUAAAGACAAUUAUAAUAAUCGUUCAAUUAUUGGUGAUUUGCUCUAUGAAUUUCUAAGGAGAAGAGAAGUAGAAAAGCAAAAUGGUGAUCCUUUUGAGGAAUUAAUAAAUGUUGUGAAUUAUUCAUUGAAUAAAUAAAAAAUGUUAAUAUUUA